AGCGAACGCUGGCGGCAGGCUUAACACAUGCAAGUCGAGCGGGCAUCUUCGGGUGUCAGCGGCGGACGGGUGAGUAACGCGCGGGAACGUGCCUUCUGGUUCGGAAUAACUCAGGGAAACUCGAGCUAAUACCGGAUACGCCCUUUUGGGGAAAGGUUUACUGCCGGAAGAUCGGCCCGCGUCGGAUUAGCUAGUUGGCGGGGUAACGGCCUACCAAGGCGACGAUCAGUAGCUGGUCUGAGAGGAUGAUCAGCCACACUGGGACUGAGACACGGCCCAGACUCCUACGGGAGGCAGCAGUGGGGAAUAUUGGACAAUGGGGGCAACCCUGAUCCAGCCAUGCCGCGUGAGUGAUGAAGGCCUUAGGGUUGUAAAGCUCUUUUAUCCGGGACGAUAAUGACGGUACCGGAGGAAUAAGCCCCGGCUAACUUCGUGCCAGCCGCCGCCGUAA
rnacentral:rRNA from 1 species